AGGACAAACGCUGGCGGGGUGCAUGAGACAUGCAAGUCGAACGAGGCACUGUUGAGCUUGCUCGACGGUGUCCUAGUGGCGGACGGCUGAGUAACGCGUAGGUGACUUGCCCCGAAGUGGGGAAUAACUGCCCGAAAGGGUGGCUAAUACCGCAUGUGGUGGAACGUUCACUCGUUCCAGUAAAGCCGCAAGGCGCUUCGGGAGGGGCCUGCGUCCGAUUAGCUCGUUGGUGGGGUAACGGCGUCACCAAGGCGACGAUCGGUAGGUGGUCUGAGAGGACGAUCACCCAGACUGGGACUGAGACACGGCCCAGACUCCUACGGGAGGCAGCAGUCGGGAAUUUUGCGCAAUGGACGAAAGUCUGACGCAGCAACGCCGCGUGAGGGAUGACGGCCUUCGGGUUGUAACCUCUUUAUCAGGGACGAUAAUGACGGUACCUGAUGAAUAAGUCACGGCUAACUACGUGCCAGCAGCCGC
rnacentral:rRNA from 1 species